GGACCCGCACAAGCGGUGGAGCAUGUGGUUUAAUUCGAUGCAACGCGAAAAACCUUACCUACUCUUGACAUACUUGGGAGCUCUUGUAAUGAGAGUGUGCCUUAUGGAACCAAGAUACAGGUGCUGCAUGGCUGUCGUCAGCUCGUGUCGUGAGAUGUUCCGUUAAGUCGGAUAACGAGCGCAACCCUUACCCUUAUUUGCCAGCGAUUCGGUCGGGAACUAUAAGGGGACUGCCGGUGAUAAACCGGAGGAAGGUGAGGACGACGUCAAGUCAUCAUGGCCCUUACGAGUAGGGCUACACACGUGCUACAAUGGGGAAAUACAGACGGACGCUAAGCCGCGAGGUGGUGCU
rnacentral:rRNA from 1 species